GACGAACGCUGGCGGCGUGCCUAAUACAUGCAAGUAGAACGCUGAAGGAGGAGCUUGCUUCUCGGAUGAGUUGCGAACGGGUGAGUAACGCGUAGGUAACCUGCCUGGUAGCGGGGGAUAACUAUUGGAAACGAUAGCUAAUACCGCAUAAGAGUAGAUGUCGCAUGACAUUUGCUUAAAAGGUGCAAUUGCAUCACUACCAGAUGGACCUGCGUUGUAUUAGCUAGUUGGUGAGGUAACGGCUCACCAAGGCAACGAUACAUAGCCGACCUGAGAGGGUGAUCGGCCACACUGGGACUGAGACACGGCCCAGACUCCUACGGGAGGCAGCAGUAGGGAAUCUUCGGCAAUGGACGGAAGUCUGACCGAGCAACGCCGCGUGAGUGAAGAAGGUUUUCGGAUCGUAAAGCUCUGUUGUAAGAGAAGAACGAGUGUGAGAGUGGAAAAGUUUCACAACUGUGACGGUUUCUACC
rnacentral:rRNA from 1 species